rnacentral:rRNA from 1 species
UCGUCAGCUCGUGUCGUGAGAUGUUGGGUUAAGUCCCGCAACGAGCGCAACCCUUGUCCCUAGUUGCUACGCAAGAGCACUCUAGGGAGACUGCCGGUGACAAACCGGAGGAAGGUGGGGAUGACGUCAAGUCCUCAUGGCCCUUAUGGGUAGGGCUUCACACGUCAUACAAUGGUCGGAACAGAGGGUCGCCAACCCGCGAGGGGGAGCCAAUCCCAGAAAACCGAUCGUAGUCCGGAUCGCACUCUGCAACUCGAGUGCGUGAAGCUGGAAUCGCUAGUAAUCGCGGAUCAGCAUGCCGCGGUGAAUACGUUUCCGGGUCUUGUACACACCGCCCGUCACACCAUGGGAGUGGGUUUUACCAGAAGUGGCUAGUCUAACCGCAAGGAGGACGGUCACCACGGUAGGAUAUGCAUGACUGGGGUGAAGUCGUAACAAGGUAACCGUA